CCAAAUUCCACCAUGUCAACCUAAUCCCCAAUCCAUUUUCCCAUCCGUCUCUAAUUUUCCCGCAUUUUCUCUCUCUUCCGGCGAUAUUGGAUCCGACUUCUCUGAUAUAUAUUUUUUUACUCCAACACCACUUAGUCCCUUCAAAUCGGAAGAGAAAAAUAAGCCCCAAUUUCUUAUCUUCCGAGGGUUUUCCACUUAGGUUCUUCUUCUUCUUGGAUCUAGGAUUAUUAGAAUCUUUGAUUUUGGGUUAUUCGUGAUAUUUACUUCUUUGGGUUGCUUUUGUUUUUCUGGAGGGGUUUUACAUUGUUAAUUUUUUGGAGUUCGGGGUAGAUUAUAAAAGGGGAAUUCUCAAUAGCCAAUGCCAUAUUUCAUGUUUGGGUAAUUGGUACUUCAUAUUUUCUGCGUAGGUUUUUUUUUAGAGACCGAAAAAAAGGUGAUCAAUGUCUUGGGCAGGCCCUGAAGAUAUCUACCUAUCUACUUCUCUUGCCAGUUAUCUUGACAGCACAGAAAGCAGAAAGGGAGGCAACAGAUCUCAAAGGUACAAUGAGGAAAAGAAUGGAGUUUCUUGAUUUGGACUAAUGCAUGUCCCCUGCCUCCUCUUUUAGCGAUCCACAAGUAUUAUGGCGGUUGUUGGUGUAGUAGAUGCGUUGUGUAGGCUAGAAGAUCCUCCAUCUCCCUCUCAGCAUCCAGUUAUUGUAACAUUUGUGAACAAUGUUUCUGACUAGGCUUAGCCUCGAUUUGCUGGUGCCUUAAAAUUAGUUUUGAACUCUAGUUGGAUAUUUUCACUUAUGGGAAGUCUCCCAGGUUACUUUAUGUU